GUGCCCGGCCCGGCCCAUGCCGUCGGAAGUCCCCGCGAGAGGCUGCACCGGGCGUCACAGGGGCAGCCCCCCCCCCCCGAUCACAGAUCGAUGGCUAUAGCGGUGAGGAUGUGUCCUGGCACGCUCACCCCUGCUCGCCUGGGGCUGCUGCUUCCUUCACCGGGGGAGGGGGGGCUCUAGGAAAAGGCUAGAAAAAGGCUUUCCUGGGGGUGGAGAAAGAGAUGGAGCUUGGUGCUGGGGAGAGGUGGCGAGACAGCCAGCUGCUCCUGAGGCCAAUCCAGCUCAUCCUUUGUGAAGACAGAAGAGACACGGGAGAAGGGAAUUUCCCCAACCUUCAGCACAUGAAGAAAUCACUUACUCUGCUAGAAAUCCUCGGCUCACCACUUUCCAUCUUCAACCACGUCACUGCAAUUCCUUUGUCAGGGAGAACAGAUAUUGCGGCAGCACAGCGAAACCUCAAAACUGACCUCCCCAGGUUUAAUUCACAUUAUCACACUCUGCACAGAGACGGCCGCACCAACUUUGCUCUUAUCUUCUAUGGCACAGGCUGUCAUUUCAGAGCAUUUUUGUUACAUCGGCCACUUGAAGCAUCGCAGUGUACUUUCCAAGCCCACUAGUUCCUUGCUGGAGACAGAGAACAGCUGAGCAAUAGCAAGCACCUUGACCACACCUCUCUCAGGCCACCAAUGCAUUGCACACGGCAGACCACAUGUGGCCUCUUGUCUCCAGCACCUCUUUGCAAACAGUCUAUCUCCGAAAUCUGGCUUUUUCUUGUCAGGCUUUCCCAACACAUUGCUAAGUUUUGCUGGUUACUAAGGAAAUAUCGUACCCCCAAGUCAUUUUUCAAUGACAGAAAGAAAUCCCUGUUUGGGACGCCUCUACUGAGUCAGAGCGUGUAGCCAGCCAGCCCUGAGACGUUAUCCCAGGAAAUGGAAAUCCCCUUACUGGCACACACUUCAUGAUGCUUCCUUUGUUAUCACAGCUUCCAGCAACCCUUUGCUCUUUCCAGAAACAAAGAUGGUAUCUUCAUUAAUAGCUAUUGAUGUUUCUUCCUUUAUCUGUGAACUAGUGAGCAAUUUAUUGGCUUUUUUUUAAGCUUGGUCAAGCUCAGCACCCACAAACACAUCUAUGUAAGGAAGUUGCAGCAGUGCUGAAUCUGCCAUCUGGUAAUGUAACUGAAUAUGCCCAAACUGAAACGCUACGGGAAACAGACAACAGUCAUCCCCUAUUCUGCCUCUUUAUCCCAGUUUUACACACCUUUAUCAUUUUGAUGGUUAAAAAAGAAAACAACAGUGAUGGAGUGGAUGACUCCCAAACUACUUCACAGGAUUCUUGCAGGCUUUUCCAGUACCUCUGGCAUUGUGCAUCUCUGUGCUGCUCUCAGUUCUGCUCCCAGGACUGCUGCUUUUCCAGUUGCCACCAUCCACAUCAUCGGCGCUGACAGAAAGCUUGCAAACAUGACUUCCACCUCACCCAUGAAGCCUUCCAAGAAAUCACUUGGGAGAUUUUGCACUCCCUACCCAUGGCUCUUUAUCCCCGUGGAUACAGCAAGAAAAUGCCACUUAACAAAUGAAAUAAUUUAAAUGACAGCACAGAGAAGGUUAAAGACAUUUAUAUAUACACAUAUAUAUAAAAAAAGUCAUAUUUACAGACCAUUGCCUAAGCACGAAACUCUCCAAACGACAGAAUUGGCUAUUUCUGUAGUCUAAGUAUACAAAGUGCAUGUUUUUCCCCUUUCUUCCCUCUGCAGCAGAAGACGGGGUGGGGAAGGUCACCUUUCCCUUAUACCUUCCUGCCCACAGUGGGAGCAAGGUCUGGGUCAGAGUGAAGGAGACAAAACCUGCUGAUUACUGGGCUAUCCACUAGGGACACUCUGAUCAGCAGCUUAGAAGAAAGGGCUGGAAAAGUGACUCAUUUACUUGGACAGUCUGCCCAAUGGGUCAAUGUCCCAGGGAGAUCACUUGGAAGGAAAGGUUACUCGACUAUUCCACCACUCCGCUUCCUGCACCGCUUCGGGUUCCCCAGAUACAUUUGAGUCAAUUUCUACUUGCAUCCCCAUUGCUCUGGGCUCCAAAACUGACUCUGCAUAAGCUCACGUAUAGCCCCGCACUAUUUACGACAGGGUGGGGGGAUGAAAGGUUUUGGACAGCAAAUGAGAACAGUGCCAAAAGCAGCCCACUGCAUGGGAUUGGCUACUUGAUGUGAUCCCUCUUGAAACUCGCCAGAACAGAGGCUCUUCUGCACUACCACCGCCCCUUUUCCUCUCAGGUGUGCAGGCAAGCAGAGGCACUCUGCCAGCACUGCGCUGAAAUAACAUCCUGCAGCAGGACCAGGCCAAGAAGUGCAUGGUUAAGAGGCAGGGAAGCUACAUGGUUGUCCUGCUAGACUAUACUGCACCAGCAUGAACGUGAAUGGGAACUAGGAGCAGUGCACAGAGUAUGAGAUUCAGGGACAAUACUGUGCAGAAACUCAAAAAAACACAGAUGUCAAUACAGGAAAGAACAAACAUCCACGCAGAACUGACAACAGACUUGAGCCCAAGGAAGACUCACUUCAAGGAGCUACCAUCCUCUAUCAGCACAAGGCGCUCCACAGGCUACUCACUACAGACUGGUUACUCCAUUUGAGAGAGCUCUCAAUCAGGAAAGGAAACGUGGUGAA